CGUUAGCGGUAGUAAUGGCAUCCUUUUUUUGCUGCCAUAUAUGGCAAAAAAAGAUAUAACCCUUCGACUACGC
rnacentral:sRNA from 1 species